rnacentral:rRNA from 1 species
AGUGAACGCUGGCGGUAGGCCUAACACAUGCAAGUCGAACGGCAGCACAGUAAGAGCUUGCUCUUACGGGUGGCGAGUGGCGGACGGGUGAGGAAUACAUCGGAAUCUACUUUUUCGUGGGGGAUAACGUAGGGAAACUUACGCUAAUACCGCAUACGACCUACGGGUGAAAGCAGGGGAUCUUCGGACCUUGCGCGAUUGAAAGAGCCGAUGUCGGAUUAGCUAGUUGGCGGGGUAAAGGCCCACCAAGGCGACAAUCCGUAGCUGGUCUGAGAGGAUGAGCAGCCACACUGGAACUGAGACACGGUCCAGACUCCUACGGGAGGCAGCAGUGGGGAAUAUUGGACAAUGGGCGCAAGCCUGAUCCAGCCAUACCGCGUGGGUGAAGAAGGCCUUCGGGUUGUAAAGCCCUUUUGUUGGGAAAGAAAAGCAGCAGGUUAAUACCCCGCUGUUCUGACGGUACCCAAAGAAUAAGCACCGGCUAACUUCGUG